ensembl:snRNA U6 U6 spliceosomal RNA
AUACUCACUUUGGCAGCACCUGUACUAAAAUUGGAAUGCUACAGAAAGAUUAGCAUGGGUGUUCUAUAAGGAUGACACACAUAUCUGAAGCAUUCACACAUUUUCU